AUACUUAAAAAAAAAAAAUUAUUUCGAUUCAUUUUUCUUCUUCUUCUUCUUCUUCUUCUUCUCCGAUAAUAUCUGUGCAAGGCGAACGAUGAUAUCGACCGCCAGAACGACAAUCGGAGGAGAUAGAAUGGUCGGAUGUUUUAUUAUCAUCUCCACCGUGGCCGAGUGUCAACGUCGACUGUGGUGCAGCUAAUCGGCCAGUCAAUUCAUGGAAAACGGUGAGUCUCCUUCACCAAAUCGAAGCUUUGCAUGAAUCCAUUCGGAGAUUGUAUUAUACAAUUGUCUUUGUCAUGGUACGUUUCUAUUUCUGUUUGUAUGAUUUAGUGUUUAGUUAAGGUUGUUUAGAGAUUAGGGUUCUUUGAUCUUGAAAAUUAGGGUUCUUCGAAAUCCUAAUUUACUUAUGUGUUCAUAGGCAAUGACUAAACUUAGGAUUAAUGAAAUUAGCAAUGAUUGAAGAUGAGUUUGGGCAUAUGAUGUUUGUUUCCAUCGGUCUUGUCCAUUGUUUGAGAGUAGGAGAUUUGUCUCAUCACCUUCACUUUUUAACGGCGACUUUGAGUUCACUCAACUUUGCUGGUUGAGUUGACACCGGUGAGAUGCAGAAGAUGAAAAGCACUUGGUAUGGUCUCUGCAAAUUUCUUGAAAUUUUAAGGAUCUUGAGAAUCAGUUGAAAGAUUCUCAAGGCAAGUCCCUUGUGUGGCAACAGAAGUCCAAGGAUUAUGAGAAUAAGUUGAAAGAGUCUGAAGGCAACUCGUUUGUGUGGCAACAGAAGGCUUGUGGAUUCAAGAUACAUAGUGGAACUUGAACUGAUGGCAGAAGGAAGCUUUACAGCAAGCUGCACCCCCGGCUCCAGUUUAGGAAUUUGAUGAUUAUAUAUGUUUGUGGUACUUUUCUCUCUGUCUCUCCAGUCUCUGGUGUUCUUUAUUUGAAUCGGUUUUCAGAUCCUUAAACUAAUGGUGACUUCUAUAUGCAGCCUCUGUUUGUUAAUAUUUUUGAAAAAUAUUUUCAUUUCAUAAAUAAUAUUUUUGAAAAA